rnacentral:rRNA from 1 species
GACGAACGCUGGCGGCGUGCCUAAUACAUGCAAGUCGAGCGAGCUUGCCUAGAUGAUUUUAGUGCUUGCACUAAAUGAAACUAGAUACAGGCGAGCGGCGGACGGGUGAGUAACACGUGGGUAACCUGCCCAAGAGACUGGGAUAACACCUGGAAACAGAUGCUAAUACCGGAUAACAACACUAGACGCAUGUCUAGAGUUUGAAAGAUGGUUCUGCUAUCACUCUUGGAUGGACCUGCGGUGCAUUAGCCAGUUGGUAAGGUAACGGCUUACCAAGGCAAUGAUGCAUAGCCGAGUUGAGGGACUGAUCGGCACAUUGGGACUGAGACACGGCCCAAACUCCUACGGGAGGCAGCAGUAGGGAAUCUUCCACAAUGGACGAAAGUCUGAUGGAGCAACGCCGCGUGAGUGAAGAAGGGUUUUCGGCUCG